rnacentral:rRNA from 1 species
UGAGUAACACGUGAGUAACCUGCCCUUAACUUCGGGAUAAGCCUGGGAAACCGGGUCUAAUACCGGAUACGACCUCCUGGCGCAUGCCAUGGUGGUGGAAAGCUUUAGCGGUUUUGGAUGGACUCGCGGCCUAUCAGCUUGUUGGUUGGGGUAAUGGCCCACCAAGGCGACGACGGGUAGCCGGCCUGAGAGGGUGACCGGCCACACUGGGACUGAGACACGGCCCAGACUCCUACGGGAGGCAGCAGUGGGGAAUAUUGCACAAUGGGCGAAAGCCUGAUGCAGCGACGCCGCGUGAGGGAUGACGGCCUUCGGGUUGUAAACCUCUUUCAGCAGGGAAGAAGCGAAAGUGACGGUACCUGCAGAAGAAGCGCCGGCUAACUAGGUGCCAGCAGCCGCGGUAAUACGUAGGGCGCAAGCGUUAUCCGGAAUUAUUGGGCGUAAAGAGCUCGUAGGCGGUUUGUCGCGUCUGCUGUGAAAGCCCGGGGCUCAACCCCGGGUCUGCAGUGGGUACGGGCAGACUAGAGUGCAGUAGGGGAGACUGGAAUUCCUGGUGUACGGUGAAAUGCGCAGAUAUCAGGAGGAACACCGAUGGCGAAGGCAGUCUCUGGGCUGUAACUGACGCUGAGGACGAAAGCAUGGGGAGCGAACAGGAUUAAUACCCUGGUAAUCCAUGCCGUAAACGUUGGGCACUAGGUGUGGGGGACAUUCCACGUUUUCCGCGCCGUAGCUAACGCAUUAAGUGCCCCGCCUGGGG